AGGCUGGAAGAGAAACGCGGGGCCGCCGGUCAGGCUGCAGCCUUGGAGGCUCGAAGUUUAGGACGGACCGCCACCCAGCCAGCUUCCAGUGGGGCACAGCGGGGAUUCCUGUGGGGAUGUCUGCGUUUGGGCCUGAUGCUCACCGGCCUAAAACGUGUCAGCGGGAGGCAAGGAAGCGCCGGCAGCGACGCCGUAAGCGGCAUUAGGUUACAGGCAGCGCGGUGCUGCUCGCCGCCCGGCCGCGCGCACCCACCUACCCCGCCCGCCCAGGGGCGCCCACCCCGUGCCCGCCACUUGCCCCGCAACCAGCGCCCGAAGGCGGCCCGCUCCCGGCGGCGAGGCCGGCGCAGCUCGGCCAGCUCUACGCUCACCCCGCCGUACUUGUCCGGCCGAGGCCGCAGCCCGCCCCAGCCCCCCGCCGCCGGGCCCCGGCCUCGCGCCCCGCGCAGCGCCCGCCACAGCGCCGGCCCCGCCAUGGUGCAGCGGGAAGCGGCCGCCCCGGGGGCGGAGCCGGCCUUUGCCUCCGGAAGCGCUCCGCGGCGGCCGGCGAGCAGCAUGGCCGCCCGGCGAAGGAGCAGGGGACGGCCGGCCCCGGGCGGGAGCUCCCCGCUGGCCGGCGGGACCGAGGGCGGGCCGCCGCUGCUGGGCGUCGCAGAGGCGGUGCAGGCAGAAGAUGACAAAGUCCCCAAGAUGUUCCGGAGAGCCCUGGCGCAGCUGUCUCUGAACAGCAUGAAGGCCGCCAACAUCUGCAUCGGUCGCCCGGUGCUGCUCACGGCGGCGGGAGGAAGGCAGGAGGUCUGCACAGCCUGGCCCACCCCAGGCUUUCCAGGUGGGAAGAUUGGGCUGAGCGACACCACACAGAAGAACCUGGGAGUCAGUGUGGGUGAUGCCAUCACCGUGCAGCCCGUGACUGGUGCGGUCAUCCAGGCAGAGGAAGUUGCUGUGAAGCUGAGGGACAAAGAUGCCUGUAUUAAUGCUGAGGAAAUGUCUGUCUGUCUGCUGAGAAACUUAGAUGGGAAAGUUGUUUUACCAGAAAAUCUCCUGGCAUUCAGUUUCUAUGGCAAACUGUGUAACGUUGUGGUGAUGAAGGUGAAGGGGACUGACAGUGUGGAGCUGCAUGCCCAGGCUGGUGCAAUUUCCAGCGAGGUGUGUGAGCCAGACCUGGAGAAAUCUGACUUGGAGAUGAGCGCGCUGGAUCUUUCCUUACAGCUCAGCAGGAUGGACAUUGAUGAAGAUCCAGAGGCUGCAUCUGCGAGCACUCCAUGCAAACCUGCGUGUCUGGGUUCACCAGUUACACCCAGUUCUGCUGUGGCAGCCACUGGUCAAGGCUCUGCUCAGGGAGAUGAAGCCAGCAGCAGGGAGGAUGCUGCAGACCUGGAGCUGCCCAGGAAAGGAGGCAGUGAGGGGCUUCCAUCGGCUGCCAAACCUGGAGCAUUCAGCAGCACAGACACUUUUUAUUACAUUUCUUCAAGAACUAGAAUCAAUUUUAUAGAAGCUAGGACGAACAUAGCAGAAGAUAGUGAUCAUGGACCCCAAGUUACCUAUGACAUGAUAGGAGGUUUAAGCAGCCAGCUCAAAACCAUUAGAGAAACGGUUGAACUGCCCCUGAAGCGAGCUGAACUGUUCAAGAGUUACGGAAUCUCACCUCCUAGAGGAGUGCUGUUGUAUGGCCCUCCAGGUACCGGGAAGACUCUAAUUGCCAAAGCCAUCGCAAAUGAGGUUGGCGCCCACGUAACUGUUAUUAAUGGUCCUGAAAUAAUAAGCAAGUUUUAUGGAGAAUCUGAAUCAAGAUUACGUCAGAUAUUUGCUGAAGCUUCUUUACGUCGUCCUUCUAUUAUAUUUAUAGAUGAGUUGGAUGCACUCUGUCCAAAGAGAGAAGGGGCUCAGAAUGAAGUGGAGAAGAGAGUUGUAGCUUCCUUGCUGACAUUAAUGGAUGGCAUUGGCUCAGAAGGCAGUGAAGGGCAGCUCGUGGUACUAGGGGCCACCAAUCGUCCUCAUGCGCUAGAUGCAGCACUGCGCAGACCCGGCCGUUUUGAUAAAGAAAUAGAAAUAGGAAUUCCCAAUGCCCAGGGCCGCCUGGACAUACUCCAAAAGCUUCUGAAGAAGGUUCCCCAUUCUCUCACAGCAGCAGAGAUGAUGCAACUGGCUGACAGUGCACAUGGUUAUGUGGGGGCUGACUUAGCAGCCUUGUGCAAGGAAGCAGGUCUGUACGCGCUGCGGAGAGCUCUGGGGAAGAGAGCUCACCCCUCAGACACCGAGGUGGCUGGGUCAGUGAUGAUUGCUUUCAAUGACUUCCUGCAGGGGAUGAAGGAUGUCAGGCCCAGCGCCAUGAGGGAGGUGGCAGUCGAUGUGCCAAAAGUAUCUUGGUCAGACAUAGGAGGACUAGAAGAUGUCAAGCUGAAAUUGAAGCAGGCGGUUGAAUGGCCUCUCAAGCAUCCCGACUCCUUCAUCCGAAUGGGGAUUCAGCCUCCAAAAGGUGUGCUGCUUUACGGACCUCCUGGAUGCUCAAAAACAAUGAUAGCAAAAGCUCUGGCUCAUGAAAGUGGCCUCAACUUCUUGGCAGUGAAGGGACCUGAACUGAUGAAUAAAUAUGUUGGUGAGUCGGAACGAGCAGUGAGAGAGAUCUUUAGGAAAGCCAGAAUGGUGUCUCCUUCGAUUCUUUUCUUUGAUGAAAUAGAUGCCUUGGCAGUUGAAAGGGGAAACUCUUCGGGUGCUGGAAAUGUAGCAGACCGUGUCUUGGCUCAGCUGUUGACAGAAAUGGAUGGGAUAGAGCAGCUGAAGGACGUGACAAUUCUGGCAGCUACAAACAGGCCGGACAUGAUAGACAAGGCUUUGCUGAGACCAGGAAGAAUAGACAGAAUUAUCUAUGUGCCCUUGCCAGAUGCAGCCACUCGUGGGGAGAUCUUCAGACUUCAUUUUCGGUCCAUGCCAGUCAGUGAGGAAAUCUGCUUAGCAGAGCUUAUUCAGCGCACCCACAAGUAUUCAGGAGCAGAGGGAUGCUUUCUUGAAAGGAGUGAGGAAAAGAGGGAGAACUCUCCUUCCUUUGCUGGCUCUCCUCUUCUUAUUUAACUUUGCAUUAUGCUGUCCUGCCUAGCCAAGAAAGGAGAGGGAGGAAACCCACGAGACCAGGAAGGUUUUUGCAAUAACAUGGCACAAACUGAGGAGUUUCUGAAUACGAAGGAGAGGAAAUGGAAGAAUUUUCUAAGAUCUGUUACUGUAGGAGUAACAAACAGAUCCAGUUACCCAGAAUUCUUAUGUGAUUUUCAGACAUAACAUGGAGUCAAUCUUUUCAGCUGCAGGAGGGCACUCAAAUGAUAUCCUUUAAUGUUUACACUGCAACAGCAGGUGUUGUGUUGAUCUUGUCACUCACAGCAUUUCCUUGAAGGAGUAAUAACCAUGCACAGAGGGAUUUACCUUUGGCAACAACAUUGCUUCCUAGGUCUGACUGCACUCCCAGCCCUGCUCUGCCCCUAGAAUGAAGGUAUGUAGUCCUCUGAUUUUCUUGGGAAACAUGAGCAGCUGGGUACCAUGGGAAGCUCCAAGAGGUAAACUUAGAAACAAUCUGAAAUUCCUCUAUCACUCUGCCAAGGAAAUAGAUACUCCAUUGGAGACAUCUCUCACCUUCCAGGAACUGAGAUCCAAUAAAUGAAAAGCAAGGGAGCUCCCAUUAAGGACAUUAUUCAUCUUUCAGUCUAAAAGCCCUACACAACAAAUGUCUUUUCCCACUCUCUGCCUCAACUCAGGAUAUGUAUGCAUGUGUUAAUAGCGAUGCAGAAAAAAACAGAAAGUAUUACAUCCCUUUUAUUCUCGUUAUCCUAUGAUCUGUAUGCUUUAUAUCCAACAGAUGAAACAGAAGGACUACAGAAGAUUUCCUAAACUUUCUGGCCAUUAUUUUUCACUGAGUUUCUUUGCAUUUACUAUAUUAUGUAUUACUGUAUUAUGAUAUCUCAUGCAUAGGAAACUAUAAAUACAUUUGCUGAUAACUUGGUAUACCGUAUCCAAACCAGAGAUAGCAUUUGCCACAGUGGAAGGUCUAAAAACAGGAUGAAAACAGGAUUUCCAAAACCAUGAAAAAUAUAUAUAUAUUUUUUCUGCUUUUUGCCGAGUGGAUUCAGCCAUCUUUUACUGGUGACAUAAUGUAACAGAAAUGCUACUGGGGCUGAAACGAGUUGAAAGACAGUUCUAGACUGGCUGAGUUCUACUGACAAAAGAAUAAAUAUUUUUAGGGAAGGGAGGACACGUCUCCCAGUUCCUUUUGCAGAAUUGAAUUUAUUUGCUUUGUUUUGAUAGGAGUCUAAGACCUCUGCUUCUCUCCCAGGUUAAACUUGAGAAAGGAAACACUGGCUUGAGAAGCAAAAGCAUUAAUUAUUUUUCAAUGCAAGAAACUUGGAAUAUGCUGAAUGUGUUGCUCAGCCUCAUCAUCUGAAAGAAGCCGAGCAAACAAAAGAGUUAAUUAAUGCCCAUACACUGAUAGGUUUCCUAAGGUGGAAGCUGACAAAUCUGUUUUGUUGCUUUCCUUUUGUUUUGCUUUUCUAGAGAGAAACUUACGAUGGCUACAGCUAAUGAUCUCCUCCAAGUCUUUUACAUUUUUAGUUGAAUAAUUCAAUCCACCUUGCUAGCGGCAUUCAGCAAAAUAGCACUGGCUUAAUGUGCAGAUCCUCUAUGGUAACAGCAUGCUCUGAGUGAGAACACAGUAUUCUGUUAAUUACUUUUAAUUAAAAUGAACACGCACAUAUGUAUGUGUACAUACAGAAAGACUGUUUUUCUAGUGGCUUGGCUUCCUUUUUCUCACUGAAGGGAAGAAGUUAAACUUUCUCAUUAAAUGUUUAUAUAAAAAUGAAAUAAUUCUGAGGUUAACCAGAAAUGCAGCUUAAUCUUGUAUAGAAACAUGUGUGUGAUUCUUUUUUCAGUUGCACAAAUAUAGCUGAAACUUGAAGUUGGCAGAGAGUGCUGUUUAAAAAUAUUUAGUCCCAGCAUGUAAAAACUCGUUUUGUUACGGAAUUCCUUUGUGAAAGGUGUAGCUAUGACAUGUCUCAGCCAAAGUGAUGGGAUCCAUAUCGGCACAGUACGUUUUGGAAACUAGCUGCAUUUUGGGCUUGUAGUUACAGAAGUUAAAUUGGAAUUUACAUGUUUUAUAUAUUGCUUGGAAGGAUACCACAUCUAGUAACAUUUUUAAGAGAGUGGAAAGAAGAAUAAAGAAAGCUUACAGAUGGGUUCGAAGGUUCGCUCUGUUAGAACAUGUCGGGAUGAGUAGAGGUAUGUAUGAUGACACUUAGCAUGUACCACUGAAGGCUCUGGUUUAUUCUCACUAGCUGUCAUCAUGUGUUAUAGUUAUGAUACAUAUGCUUAAUUUUGGCUACUUACCUUAUCUCUUCCUUAUUUUUUUUCUGGGUGUGUUUGAACUUCAUAGAAUAUCAAGAGCUACUGAUAUGUGUGAUACUGUCUGCUGCCCAUGCACAGCCCUGCUCAGUUUUUGAACCUGUAUGAGCAGUUGCAUGCAGCAUUUUGUGGCCAUUGGUUGCUGCCCCGUGAGAGCACAGAACCAGUGGCCUGGCUCAGUCCCUCACUGGUGUGCCAGGUGCUAUGACCAAAGUAAGCAGACAAACAUGAAGCCUAGCCCUCCUGGCUGAGACCAGGAGGAGGCCAUCGUCUCUAUUGCAGCCACCAGAGUAGUUGUGGCCACCAUGGAAAGAUCCAAGGGGACCUCUGUCCUGCUCAGACUGGGUGUACUCAGGUGGAACGAAAACUUAAUGUCCCUGGUGCAGAUCAUCAGGUAGGCUCUGGACACAUGCACAUGUAGUGACAAGUGCAUUGAUCUGUGAAGUUACACAAAUAAGCACACUAUAGAUUAAAGACUAAGUGAAGACUUCACCCUGUCUAUUCUGUCGUCACCUAUAGCGAUCGUUAAAGGUGCUGGUUUUGUUCAAUUGCAUUUCCUUAACAACCUCUCAUAAAAGAAAUCAGGAAUAACAGGGAUAGUUUGCUUGGAUUGUUGGAUCAGAGACACACAUAAUACCCAUCCUUUUUAUUUAAGAAUUGCAAACGUGCUUGCUUCUUCCUCUCUGUUUUAAAGUAACUGUCCAAUGUCAACUCUCAUUAAAUGUCUCUUUAAUAAACAA